rnacentral:rRNA from 1 species
CCUACGGGUGGCAGCAGUGGGGAAUAUUGCGCAAUGGGCGCAAGCCUGAUGCAGCCAUGCCGCGUGUGUGAAGAAGGCCUUCGGGUUGUAAAGCACUUUCAGCGGGGAGGAAGGCGUUAAGGUUAAUAACCUUGUCGAUUGACGUUACCCGCAGAAGAAGCACCGGCUAACUCCGUGCCAGCAGCCGCGGUAAUACGGAGGGUGCAAGCGUUAAUCGGAAUUACUGGGCGUAAAGCGCACGCAGGCGGUCUGUCAAGUCGGAUGUGAAAUCCCCGGGCUCAACCGGGGAACUGCAUUCGAAACUGGCAGGCUAGAGUCUUGUAGAGGGGGGUAGAAUUCCAGGUGUAGCGGUGAAAUGCGUAGAGAUCUGGAGGAAUACCGGUGGCGAAGGCGGCCCCCUGGACAAAGACUGACGCUCAGGUGCGAAAGCGUGGGGAGCAAACAGGAUUAGAUACCCUUGUAGUC